UAUUAGUCUUCUAUAGACUUUCACAGUUUUCUUCUGGUGAACAAAUUUGCAGUACAUGUGUGGAAUUUCAAAUUACCAAUAUAUUUUCAGUUGCAAGAAACAUCAAGUCAGAUUUGAACGUCAGAGGCCUCAAUGUGAAGUAACUGUGAAGCAAAAUGGCUACAAAUUAUAGACUUCAGAAAUAAAGAGAUACAGGUCUUUAUGCUACAAGCAUGCCAAAACAGCUGAUAAUUAUAAUGAUUGAGUCUGUGGUUGGUACAGAGAAAGGGAAAAUCAAAGAAUGCUUACUGUGUCAGAGGAUUCUACAAGAAUUACUUCUCCUCAGCAGUGACUAUGACUCACAUACAGCAAAGAUGAUGGAGAAAAUUCCAAGCGUUUUACAUUUACAGAUAUAUAAGAUGGUGUCAGACACAAGACUUGGAAUUUGAAGUGCAGCGUAAAGCUUUUACAUUCCUCAUUGGUGUAUCCAUUCUACAUUCGGAACAGCUUGUUUCAGAAAAAGUUAAGAGUGUGAAUGACAGACUGGGUAGUUGGUUGAUGGAUGCCAGUCUGUUUCAAGCCCCAAACCCAUACUCCUCGAACCCAUUCAGGAAGGACCAAAACAAUAUGGUGACUGAGGUUGAUGGGGCACCUAGCAACAACUUCUUUACAGUUCUCAGCAUUGGCCAGUACUACACAGAUGACCAGCUGGCCAACAUAUUUUGUUUCUCCAUGCUAUAUCAGUGGAUACAGCACAGCUAUGAUUCGCUGUCCAUGCAAGAACCAGCAAUGUUAGAGGAAGGAUAUCCAGUCGGAACUUGAAGUUAGCAGAGGAUUUAAGUUGUCUCAGCCAAGGUCAAUUGAUGCAAGGUCAGACACAAGUUCAAGGUCAAGCACACCAACACAAAACGUCCAGUAUCUUUGUCGGCAACAAUGGGCUGGGUUUCAAGCUCUUAAGCAAUUUCUGAGUGUUUGCUAGAGACAGUCAAGCUGCUAGACCUUAUAUGUAAAAUACACAAAGGACAGAUUCCAAAGACUUUCCGGGAACUGAAGCGGCUUGUUACCAUGACAACACAUGACAACAAUAAUCCCAGAUUGUCCAUUGUGGUCCUACAGUUUCUCCUGGAUCAUAGUAGAGCAGUAGCAUUAUGACCCCAGUGAAGAACUGAAGGUGCUGUUUCAUUGAGUUCUAGCACAUAACCUCAACACUGCCAGUGUGUGCUUCAACAUUAUCAUGUUUAUUCUGGACAACCUGGAGACACUGACACAUGAGCACAACAUUAUGUCUGCUUACUUCCCAAACAUAUUUAAGUUGCAAGCCUGGCAUCCUCACACAUUUGUGUCUGACUUUGAGGACAUUGUACCAGCUAUGAUGUCACAGGUGACAUCACUAGAGGUCUUUCAUGCACUCAUUGACCUUCCAUGUAUGAUCAUUGCCUUGGAGAUAAUGAAGAAGACAAAGCACAUGGAUUUUACUGCAGUUCCUGUUGUGACGGAUCUUGAACCUACAAGGGCCCUGGAUGCAUUUAAGAAUGCAAUGUUCCGCCCAAUGUUAAACUUUUUCACUCGAGCUGAAGGAGGGCAUGACUGGAUAAGUUUCACACUGCUAUACAGGAUAUGAUGGAACACCCUAGAGUAUUGGUGUGCUACCAGGUUGUACCUGUUCUUCUCAGAUAGGUGUUGGUUUGAAGUGAUAUAUGAAGAAAGUGACCAGGAAUUUGUACAGGAGUUAUUACCAGUGUUGAUAGAGAGGACUGGGUUAUUGUAUGGCAUCCCUGAGUACCAGAAGGAAGUUAAUAGGAUUAUAUCAGAGAAUGUUAUACU
rnacentral:misc_RNA from 1 species